CAGUGGCAAGAGGAACCUAAUCCAAGGAGGAUGGAACAUUUAAAAAGGACAGAUGAGACUAGAAGGACAGCAGGAGGGACAUGGACACUCGCUGACCCAGCAUUGACCCCCAGCCCAGCAGACAAGGACAACACCAUAGGCUAAGUUGGAGGGAAUGUCGGCCUUUGAAAGGUCUUCUGGAGUAAAGACGCCUGGGAAACUGA